CCUACAUACUAGGAAUCAAACAAAGUAGUCCAAGGAAUUAGAGAGAGCUCAAUUACUAAAACUAAGUUGUCACCUAAGAGUAAAUUAGGUAAUGAUAAAAAAAAUUGGCUAAGCGCAUAUAAUAAUAAAAGUUAAUAACCUUCCUCCUCAAGAUACAAAAAAUGACCGUUGUAGAGUAGACGCUCUUAAUAACCGCGUUACACAGACUGUCACAAACAACUCACAACUUAAACCACCGCCUCAUACUCAUAACUCAUAACUCAUAAAUCUAAAUCACCCUUCAUCAAGAAUUUGCUCUCUGCGAUUGUGCUAAAACCUAAUGAAAAACCCCCCAUUCAUUUUCUCCUUAAAUUCAUGCUUUAGAAUAUAUUCGGCGACAAAUCAAAAUUUCGCUCCUUUUCCAACCAUUCUGAAUUUAGGAUGGAAUGUGAAGUUCUAGAAUUCGAUUUCUAGGGUUCCACAUUCCGUAAUUGAAUUCGUAUAAUUCAAAUGAGUGGUAAUCGAUUUCGGAAUUUUGAUUUAUCACCUUUUCAAGAUAGAAUAUUGUAGAGAUUUAGGUAUUUUAUGAAUUUCGUUGAACAUUUCAAGUUCUCCCCAAUAAUUCAUGAUAUUGAAGUGUGAAGAACGAGAUUCUAAGUGGAAGGUUGUUCAAAGCGAAGGAAAGCAGCUGCUUAAUGAUUGGUUAUAUGGACUAGUUUUGAUUGGAGAUCGUUAUGCAUCUGGGAAGUAAUAAGUGUGUGCUUUGUUAUCUUUUGAUAUUUGGUGUGGUUAUUAGUUUUGAUUGAAAGAUUUUAGAAGUUAUAUGAAUUGUUUUAUGAGAUUUGGAUGUGUUUGUGGGUUUGGUUUCAAGGCUUUUUAUGGUUCCAAUAUGUAAUUAAGUAGUGUUCACUUUAAUUAUGUAUUAAAUUAUUUAAAUAUUUUUUCUGUGUAAUAAGAAUACUUUGAAAAAAUAAUUUUCAUGUGUGGCUUAUUGUUGAA